UACGUAGGGUGCGAGCGUUGUCCGGAAUUACUGGGCGUAAAGCGCUCGUAGGUGGUUUGUCGCGUUGUUCGUGAAAUGCCACAGCUUAACUGUGGGCGUGCGGGCGAUACGGGCAGACUGGAGUACUGCAGGGGAGACUGGCAUUCCUGGUGUAGCGGUGGAAUGCGCAGAUAUCAGGAGGAACACCGGUGGCGAAGGCGGGUCUCUGGGCAGUAACUGACUCUGAGGAGCGAAAGCGUGGGGAGCGAACA
rnacentral:rRNA from 1 species